CAUUUCUUCCUUUUGCAAAGCUUCCCAGUGUGUCGGGUGACUAUGAAGUAACUUGAACUGUCACACUUACAUCAGCCAACCGUAUGACCCCAUUGGUAGAUACUUUGGUAGGCCAAGCUGAUGAGCAUCUGGCAAAGUGGGUCUCAAUCCUGGAUUGGAAUCAUCUGAGGCACUUAAAAAAUUAUACCAUCUGGCUCUACUCCCAAGAGAUUUCAUUUAACUGGUCUGAGUUGCACUCCCAGGGUUGAUGUUUUUAUAAUGGUCCUAGGAGUUUCUAAUACGCAGUCAGAGUUGAGACCUAAAUAUGAUUAGAAGCUGAACAGCGAGUACACUUCUCCUGAAACAAGCAAGAAAUUCGGCUUCCAGUGCUACUCUAAAGGGACAGCACAUCCCGCAAAGGACCUCUCCUAAAGAGCAGAGAACUUUUCAUUACUGGUGUUGUUCAAGAAAAGCCUUGAUGAUGUAGAAGAGAUUCUUUGAAGGUCACUGCUGUUUCAUUGCCAAGAUGAACUAGGAGGAUGAAGGUCAGUCUUUUCCUCCUGAUGAAGGAAUUCAUGAACUGCAUGCUACCCUUACUGUUAUGACUUCUAAAACUGCUGCAACCAUUUGAUUGGAAAAGUAUUUUACAAUAAAUGCUGCGUUCCAUGUGCUAAGUACUGAAGUUAUUACCAUGACAACAAGACCACCUUCUUGCCUACAGUUCGGAGAUUAAUAAAGGGCUCCUGAGAUAACCACAAGGCACAUGAAAUAACCCAGGAACUAUAAAUUGCAAAAGUGUCUAUGCUGCAUUGUAACUUUUGGAAAAACAUGCACACACCUGGUGCCACCUGGGUAGGUGUGACCAGAACCUGCCUGUUGGAAAAUAAAGGAUUAAAAAAAUGAAAUGAGAGAAAGUGACACAUAAAAGGACAACUUAAGGUUUCCGCAAAGCAAAUACAUAACCAAGCUGAUCAACCCUCCAGCAUAGUCCUUCUGAGCUGUGUUUCCACAGGAAAAUGAGGGUAGAGGCAAUCACAAAAGUCUUGGCUCUCAUCCACCCCUGUGGCCUGCUGACACAGGCCCAGCUUGCCAGAGCACUGGGGUCACAAUGAAGUUGCUGCCAGUAGAGCUGCUUUCAUUAAAAUUGAGUAAGAAGAACAGGUAAUGGGGUUGGGCAGAAACUAGGACCUGAAAGUGGUUGGGAUUGGGGGACUCCUGUCUUCUAAUUGGGAAGGCUGGGUAGGGCUUCUUGGUAGUACCUGACAAUUAUCUUGUUCUAGCAUUUACAGCCUUUCUCUACUCCUGGAGUCACUGCAGGGCCCCCAGGGGACUCUGAAAACAGCCAGUUGUUAAGCAAGGGUAUUCUCCACUAGGGCUACCAUGAAGUUUAUAUUAUAGAGCUGGAUCUUUCACCCCUUUUGUGCUGUAAACCAUUUGUGCACAGCCUUUGAACUAUUUCUCAUAAUAAUACUUUUUAAAUAUAUAUAAAAUAUAUGUCAUUACAAAUAAAAUCAACUAUGAUGAAAUAUGGCACAUGUAUACAUAUGUAACUAACCUGCACAAAGUGCACAUGUACCCUAAAACUUAAAGUAUAAUAAAAAAAUAUAUAUAUAUAUUUAUAAAUAUUGA
rnacentral:lncRNA from 10 species